GGAAUUAGCUUGCUAAUUUGCUGACGAGCGGCGGACGGGUGAGUAACGCGUAGGAAUCUGCCUGGUAGUGGGGGACAACAUGUGGAAACGCAUGCUAAUACCGCAUACGCCCUACGGGGGAAAGGAGGGGAUCUUCGGACCUUUCGCUAUCAGAUGAGCCUGCGUGAGAUUAGCUAGUUGGUGGGGUAAAGGCUCACCAAGGCGACGAUCUCUAGCUGGUCUGAGAGGAUGAUCAGCCACACUGGGACUGAGACACGGCCCAGACUCCUACGGGAGGCAGCAGUGGGGAAUAUUGGACAAUGGGCGCAAGCCUGAUCCAGCCAUGCCGCGUGUGUGAAGAAGGCCUUCGGGUUGUAAAGCACUUUCAGAGGUGAGGAAGGG
rnacentral:rRNA from 1 species